GAAAUGCGAUAAGUAAUGUGAAUUGCAGAAUUCAGUGAAUCAUCGAAUCUUUGAACGCACAUUGCGCCCGCCAGCACUCUGGCGGGCAUGCCUGUUCGAGCGUCAUUUCAACCAUCAAACCCCCUGGGUUUGUGCUGGGGAUCUGCGGCCAACCGCAGGCCCUGAAAACCAGUGGCGGGCCCGCCGCCGUGCCCGAGCGUAGUAGAUCUAUCCUCUAGCUCAGGGCACGUAGCGGGCUUCCCCGCCGUUAAACCCACACCAUCAAGGUUGACCUCGGAUCAGGUAGGAAUACCCGCUGAACUUAA
rnacentral:misc_RNA from 1 species